ACCACUGUAAUGUAUUACACUAUGCUGUACUGAACAGUAGUUAUUCAACACUUAAUACUACAUUAAACACACUAAUGUUAUCUUAACACUACACUUAACACUAAACACUUAAACCUACAUAACUUUACACUGUGCACUUUCUUUACUUAUCAUUGUCAUCAAAGGAGUGAAAAUUUGUUAUGGUAGUUCUGAUGUAACCUGUGGUGAGUAUGAGAAAGUACUGAGUAAGCUCAUUGAGGAUGUUGGAGCAACUGACACAUUGUCUCUGAAUCUUGCUUCUGCUUCUUUCUAGCUGGAAGAUCAGGUGAUGGAGUAGCCUUGAAGUAUUUGGAGAUUUUCUACUGGACUUUUCUGGCCUGCUGUUGUUUCAUUAGAAAGCUGUGAACUAUGUGGAACAUCUCAUAACUCUCAACCAGAGGUCCACCAACUUUUGUCAGCUAGGGCCAGCAGUGUGUCAUUUGCAUCAAUCACUGCUGCAGUUGACAGUCCACCUUCGCUUCUUCCUGUUCCGCAAGUCAGUUGGGUGAAGUCAACUUUUGCACAAUUUCAUCUUCUGUUUGAUGGCAACCAUGCAAGUCAGCUUCCUUUUCUACCCAAUCCUCCAUCUCCUCUAUGAGAAUAGAACCCUGUCCAGCUGCAGCCAACAUUUCAGCUGCCCUUGGUGCCUUGAACCCCUCCAAAUCAUGAAGCUGAGCUGGAGUUUGGGGUUUUCAAAAGUUUGCACCAGGCAUUCUUAAGUGUGGAGAAAGGCACUGCUUUCCAUGCCUAUUCCCAGUUAUAAAUCUCAUCCUUGAUGUUAUAUUUCUUGAAAUUGUACAAUGUUUUCCUCCACAUGUUGUUUUCAUAGCCUACUUCAUCUAUUCCAUCCUCCAUGACGACGAGGCACUUCUACAGGUAGAGAUUGUGGUAGACUCAUUUCUCACUCUUGAUAAUCCCUGGUCUAUAGGUUGAAUCAGGGCAGUCGUGUUUGGUGGCAGGAACAAAACUCAUUUUUUUCAUCCUUGCUGCAGAGCUUUGCUGAUGAUGGAUGUGCUGGAGAAGUGUUCAUUAGCAGUACAGUCUUGACCCUGUCAAUGCCAAUGCCAUACAUUUUUUGAUGUUGACAGCUGACUCAAAAAUAUUGUGGAACCAAUCACCCAUAGUAUCCUGAGUAAACCAUGCUGAAGCACUGGUGCAGAAUGCUACAGGUAUUAAAUUCUUAAGUGCCCUUGGCUUAGCACUUAACAACAACAGACUUCGGUCCAGUUCUGUUUAUAUUGCUGGAAGCCUAGGUGUUCCUGGGCAGAGACUUCCAGUAUAACCCAGUUUCAUCUGCAUUGUACAUUUGAAAGUCUUGGUAACACUCCAUUUCCCUCAACUUGUGAGACCUGUUCACAAAUGGAUCCACAAUACUGGCAUCAGCGCUAAGCAGCUCCCCAGUGAUGGCUUUGUUUACAAUGUCAUGGCACCGUCAAAACUGCCACAGCCAACCAUCACUACACUUCAAGUUGGUGUGGCCAAGAUGCUUAGCAAGUCUCUGUGCAGCAUGUUGUAUAUCCAUGCCAUGGACAGGUACACCUGCUCUCUCCUGGGUAUACCAUUUAUUAGCUUCAGCAAGGUUAUCCAUGGGAAGCUGUCUGUUCUGGUACACCUCCUUACUUUUCUUCCCACUUUCCAUCUCCCUUUGUCUUCCUGGCCUUGAUAAUAUCAUGAAGUGUUGUUUUCUUCAGGCCAUACUUGUCCAUCAGUUGAGCAUGUGACAUGUCCCUCUCAUGGUCCUGGAUUAUCUCAAACUUCUGAUGCACAGAGAGAAUCUUUUCUCCCUUUCUCCAUGAAGCAUGAGACGGUGAUGGAGUCUUACAAGAUGUGGUGGGAGUUUGGGAAGACAUUGUAGAUGUAUGUCACUGUGAGUGAGAGAGAGCACAUUAGCGAGGUACCACACUCUGUGAUAACCAGCCACACACUGAGCUGUGUUCAGUCAGCCCAGCCUAGGCCUGCGCCAGUAGUCAGCUUACCCAAGGGAUAUGCACAGCGUCACUGGCAUGUUUGGUCAACUUUCAAACUUGUCGAAUAAACCAAACAUAUGAUGAUGAUAAGUGCAAAUCGCAAGCACGAGGAUCCUUACAGCCUAGAAAUUCACAAUGCACCACCAACUCUGGACACAAUGGCUCGUCUUGAGCGCUACAUCCCACCCCUGUACAAGGUAAGCAAGGAGUGUGUCACCAUGCUGCGGAACAAGCCGAUCCGAGGCGCCCCAUUGGACUUCACAGGCGUCCUUUAAGAGACUGGAAUAUGUGUGGCCAUACCUGGCAGUGUAGAGGCUGUGCACAGGCACCACUUUGAAGGCCCAGACAAGAGGAACAGUUGUACCUCUUCACCUCCCUGGCAGCCUGGCUCAUCUGCAUCUGGAGGCCCCACAACAAUGUGACCACCCAAACUCCACUGUGUCAGCCAUUUGUGACCAGCUUAGGCACCUGCCUCUCCUUACCCUAGUGGUGGUGGUGGUGGUGGUGGUGACGUGGAGGAUGAGACGGGCAGCGCCGGACAAGGUGGAGGAGGAGAUGGCGGCGGCGGAGUACAGGGAGCGAGAGGAAGGGGAGGAGGAGAACGAUUUACGUGUGAACGACCUCAGGGAUUUGAAUGAACAGAAGACACACACAACUGAGCAGACGCAGGAGCACCGAGGGAGGGCCUCCACGGACAAGCACCUGGUUAGCCUGCACUGGGAAAUCACCUGCAGUCUGUAGAAGAUUGUCCCCUGGGAAAAGUACCUAAUCUGCCACUAGAACCAUUAAAACACCCUUAAAACCUGUGUCAUUUUAACUAGAGGCUUUUGAAACUAAUGGAGCUCCUCAAGAGUGUUUCUCCUGUUAAUAAUGUAGAAAUAUUGCUAAUCUGUUACUAGAACCAUUAAAAUUCCCUUAAAAUUUUGUGUCCCUUCAACUAGAGGCUUUUGAAAGUAAUGCAGGUUCUCAAGAGUGUUUCUCCUGUUAAUAAUGUAGAAAUAUUGCUAAUCUGUCACUAGAACCAUUAAAAUUCCCUUAAAAACCUGUGCCACAUUAACCAGAGCCUUUUGAAAGUAAUGGAGGUUUUCAAGAACGUUUCUACUGUUAAUAAUGUAGAAAUAGUUAAUCUCACUAGAACCAUUAAAAUUCCCUUAAAAACCUGUCACUUUAACCAGAGCCUUUGGAAAGUAAUGGAGAUUCUCAAGUGUGUUUCUACUGUUAAUGAUGUAGAAAUAUUGCUGUCACUAGAACCAUUAAAAUUCCCUUAAAACCUGUCAUUUUAACUAGAGCCCCUGGGAAAAGUACCUAAUCUGCCACUAGAACCAUUAAAACCCUUAGAAACCUGUGUCAUUUUAACUAGAGGCUUUUGAAAAUAGUGGAUGUUUCCUGCCCCUGGCCGAGUAACAUUUUGGCAAGAAAGUUCACUGUAAAUUGUCUUUGCAUGUUGGGGAAAGGAGAGCUCAUCACAGCAUGACUCGCUCUCUGUACUGCACGUGGAGUAACAAUGUAUAUGAAACGUUAAAUUCCUCAUGCAUCUGCAAGAAAACAAUAUGUUAGUGCGCCAUAAUAUUGCAAAAAUGAGAUGCCUCAGACCGUCCAGGGAUAUCUACGUG